UUAUGGCCAUAUCAUGUUGAAAUACCAACUCUCAUACAACCACCAAAGUUAAGUAAUGGCAAGCCUGGUCAGUACCUGGAUGGGUGACUACUUGGGAAUACCAGAUGCUGUAAG